AUGAGGCGUCGUCAGGUCUCUGGCUACUUCCUGCUGAGGUGGGGGCGGCAUGAUGAUUGGGGUUUGUGGUCGGAAUGGGAGAGUACCGGUGAGCCAGCAACAGGUCUCCCUCUUUACCAGCAACUUCCCCAGAGCCUAAAAACAUACCAACUCUCUACCAUCUUUAAAGAACAUAUAAAACCUCCAACCAUUCCUGACCGUCUCCACUGCCCUCCUUCUACAGCUCUUCCUUCCCUUCAUAAAACCUGCCAUCGGUUAGAGGCCUGCUGUGCAUCACAACCCUGUGAGGGAGAACGCCUUCACGCCCUGCCUCGCAGAUGAGAAGACUUGGGCUCAGAGAGGAUUUGAACCUAGACCUGCCUCAGACUAGAACUGUACAACUAGGCAGUCACAAACCACAGGUGGCACUUGAAAUGCCGCUGGUCCAAACUAAGAUGUGCGGCAGGUGCUCAAAGACUUUUACAAGAAAAAAACACUGCAAAAGAUCUCAUUGAUAUUUAUGUAUUGAUUAAAUGUUGAAAAAAAUUUUGUUUGCUAUUUCAGGUGAAAUACAUUAUUAAAAUGAAUUUUAACCUGUUU